GUGCAGAUCAUUCAUGGGGAAGUAUAACCGAAACCAGUCCUCCCCACCCCCUGGGGGUCUUCGCUUUCCCAGUCUACACCUGCCUGUGACUCCAGAAAGACAAACUGCAGUUUGGCCAAGGUAUAUCUCAGAUGAGAUCCCUAUGGGAAAAGCACAGGAAUGCUUGGCUCUAGCAGUUAGGAGCUCUGAUGAGAGUGCCCCUAGUGCCAUUUUCCCAUCUGUGCCCUUGACGGUCCCCUUUGGUCUAAAUCCAGGGCUCUAGACAGUCGAAGUCUACCUGCGGGUGUCCACUCUCAAGCCCUAGAAUUUCAAUACUAACAGGCAUUAGAACCUUGGCUCAAUAUUUGGUCAAUGCAAUCUUCAAAAGAGGAGGGCAGCUGGGAGAUGACAGCAGGGGAUGAAAAUAUGACUCCUAUCUUGUUCCCAACUGUGUGGGUCUGGCACUCUUCAACUUGCCAGCAUGCUGGGAAACAACCCAUCUCUCUCCCAUGUUGGAGAAUCCACACUUCAUUCCUUCUGGGUCCAGCCUAAGUGUUACCUCCCCCAGGGAGCUUCUCCAGAUAUUGCUUCUCCUCUCUUUCCCCCAAAUGAAGUCUUCUUUUCUCAAUUCCUUCCUGGCGCUGUCACUUAUUUUCUUUGGGGUAGAUCUCAGGCAAGCAUAUGUCACCUUCUGUGACUGUGGGUUUCUUGACAACUCAAUCAAUGCAUUGCACCAAGGAGAUGUUUAGACAGCCCAUAUAAAAGGAAUGACAGGGAUAUCGGGUGAAUCCCGUCUCCCCCAGUUGCAAUAAAAUUAGUUGCCUUUAUUUAGAAAACGAUUAGAACUAGUAGAGGAGUUAGCUGUCACCCACUAGGGAAGAGAGCUCCAUCUCCAAGCUGUCCUCUGGCUCGGUGGGGCCUGCACUGGGACUGCAUCAAUUUCCCCUGGCUCUGAGAGGGAGGCUCAGCCCCAGCCUGCCCUCUCUGGUGCCCACUCGCAAGAUCCUGAGCUCUAAGUCCGAGCUGGCAGGGCCGACUCUAGAUACCCCACGGUUUGCUGGGUGAUCUCCGGCAAGCACCUCGGCGUGUCUAAGUCUUAGUUUCCUAUCUGAGCGAUGGGGAUAAUGACACGCACCUAGAUUAAAGGGGAUCAAAGCCCAAGCCAGAGCAGGUCGCGCUCAGUUAGUUUUCCUGUAUUUUCUCCUCCUGCCUCUUUGGUUUCUUCCGUUUCCUUUUAGCUGCCUGAAGACCCUGCCCGACAGCGAUGGGUGCCAGCCCGCAUCGCCCACCAGGGCAGCUGCUCUCUCGACUCUCAUGGGGGGCACCACCGCUCCUCGGUGCCUUCGAGCUGCCAGUCGCGGCUCCGCGGGGAUCGUCAGGGCCUCAGACCUUGCGGCCGGCGGCGCGGGAGUGUGGUGGGGCAGGCACCGGAGGCGACCAGGGCGGAACCCCGGAUUUAGGCCGCCUGCUUUCCAGUCACUGCGAUGGCCACUGGGGCACCCCUUCCAUCCUGGUUAAAUUCUCAUAGUGACCCCCAGCCUCCUCCUAGGCGGGUUCUCCGCCGCUCAGACCGGAAGAGGUCACGACUCCAGGCAGGGUGGCCCCCCAGCUCCAUCUCGGGGGAACUUUUGUCCGAAGCAAGCAGGAAGGGGUUAACCACGAGCCUCCCACCCUCACCUCGCAGCCCCCCGGUGCCGGGCGAAGGCCGCCGCUUCCCUCCUGAGGUCUCAUUAGGGAAACCCUCGCCGCUAUUUUCAACGUUUCCUCAAUCAAGUGCCUUUAAAUAGAGCUGCACAAACAGAUUGGCGGCAAGAGCGUAGAUCUUGUCACGAUGGAGGCCAAUCCAAUAUUUCAGCCUUGUUUGCUUUGCAAUUACGGGUUGGCUUGUGGCUGCGGUGCCACCGGGGCAAAUCUGUAGCCGUUGGCUUUCUCCUCUGCGCUCCGGGCGGGUGGAGGAAGCGACCCUCGGAGACAUUGCGGGGAGGAGAGGGGGGCGCAUGCGCUGGGGUUUGGGGACCGUGGCGGGGUGGGGGGGCAGGCGGCGGAGGGCGGAGGGGCCUCGCUUGCACCCUAGGGCCGCGGGCGCGCAGAGCUGUGUUGAAGGACACACUUUUCAGGCUCCCGACAGCCACUGAGCUAUAUGCAACAAUAAAGUGCGUGUUUCGGGUAUGGAAACCAGUGUCGUGUCCUUACCAGCUUCCUUUCCUGCCCCCCGUUCCCCUCUUCUUUACCUCCGUUUUAUUUUUCUCCAGAGUGUGUUGGCGGUUUGCUGGAUUUCCCUUCUCCCUCGCUGUUCAGCUGCUAGCAUGAUUUGUUACAUUUCCACAGCUGUUUAUUCUUGUUUCACUUUUUGUACAAAGUCACUUUAAAUCUGCUGCAGGAAGAAUAAAGCUCCUGGCCCUCUGGAUGGGAUCCUGCCGGCGAGUGGCUGUCCCCGACCCAUUUUUGAUUCUUUGGAGAGGGCUCUUCUGUGUAAAUCAGCCCCUGGGUGCGUUCGCUCACCUCUAGGCCAGUCUAGUUUGUAUCAGCAGUACAGUAGUGAACUCAAAUCAGGUCGUAAGCCUUAUAUUUCACAGACAAUUACAUCCUGGCUGCUGUUGAACACAACUGUAAUAUUUACUCUGCUCUAUACCGAGGAACACUUUUAAAGUAAAAGAAACAAAACACAACACAAAUACUAUAUUUCAAAAAGAAAAUAUGACAAUAAAUCUUUUUAAAAUGGAUUCUCUCUGCAUAAAUGGAAACAACAUGAUUUAAAUCCCUGGCACUUCCACCCCCUUUUCAGACACAGCAGAAGUGGUACAGAGUCUGUCUUCUAACACAUAAUCUCCCUCUCUCUCGGGGGAGGCACUUGCAUAGGCUACAUUCAAUUUCAUUUCUAAGGUUUCAGGCCCCUCCCCAACCCAUGUAAUAUGUAACAAGGGUUAUCAAAUAAUACGGUUUUGGAUGUGAAGUCUACUUUACACAAGAAUUCAAGAAUGAUGGGAAAGACGUCGGUAAUUAUGUUACAACUUCAUAUUACUUUCUAAAUGAAUACCCAUUUUCUUCUCAUGUCAACUUCUAGAAGUGGGAAGCUGAGGCAGAGAAAUAUUUUUAUGAGACUCUGGAGUACGUAUUAAAAUGUGCUUCUUUAUUAUUUGAGAAUGUGUAAGGUAUGGACCUAGAUUUGUUUGCUGGUGGUCAUAAAAUAAAUUCAUAGCCAUUGUGGCCAAUAAGCAAUCUCCUUCACACUUUAAAUGUUCAUGGUUUAUAAUCCCACCUGGAUUGUAUUUUCACUAUUCCGUAUCACCCUCCUAUUACAAUAUUUUGGUUCUCAAUAUUAUGAAAAACAAACCUUAGAAAUAAUAAUUUCCAUAAAAUUGUGCAACGGUAAAGCCACGGAAUAUUUUGAAUCCAUAUUGUCAUGCAUGCUCAGGUGUAUAGCUCUUAUACAGUUUGCUAGCUAACCAAUUGCUUUAGUAUUUCAAGAAAUAGGAAGCAGUAGCUACCAAGGAUACCAUUUCAUAAGAAUUCUAUUUUCACGGAAAAAAUUGCUCUGGGGCAUUAUUCAAUGCAAAAAAUUAUAAUAUCACUUUCAUGUGUAUUAAUCUGUUUAGUAUUAAAACUGAUAACGUGUCUUAACCAUGAACCUGUUUUGCCAUACCACUUUCAAAUGAGUGAUCUGAGAUAAUUACACAGAUAUUGAUGUUAAUCCCAUGGUAAGUGAACAACUAUGAAAAUCAUCUUAAAGCAUGAUUAUUCUCAUAUAAAUGCCAGCAAACACAAUUGUAGAGAGAACAUGAUUACUUUUUAUCUGACGUUAUCCCAUAAUGGUAUGGCUACAUUUAUUUCUUUUAAAAUUGAAGCAGUUUUCAAUUACUUUUUAACAGAAUUGUUUUCAACACAGCAUUUUGCAGUGCCCAUAAACCAUAGCAACUUUGUACUGACUAAUACAUAUUUUUCUACAUUAUUAUUUAUUAGCCUCUUUGCAAACUCAUUGAAAUAGAAUAGUAUUAAAAAUAUGAACAUACAGAGAACAAUUAUUAGGUUCUACAUAUUUAUUUAGGUAAACCAAUGUUAUUAAAAUUAAAAACAUGUGCCUGGCAUAUAAGUGCUUCUUUAGGAAUUAUUUUUUGGAUUCCUAGUUAUUAUUUUUUAAACCAACUCAGAUUUUCAAAUAUUGAUUUUCUUCUCUGAAUAGGCAUGGCAUUGUUUUAAACAGUAGCUCCUGGAAUAAUGCCUCCUUUAGUAUUUUAGACUUUCAAAUAACAAAUGAAAUUGGAUAAAUGCUUUCAGCUGGGAGCACUUUCCUAAUACGUUUGUAGGUAAUGCAAUUCUUUAUUUGUGCUGGGUGACAAACGGACAGUGCCCUGGACAGACUGCUUACCCUCUGCAGAAUUUACCAAAAAGUCGAGUUUUCCUAUGAGAUUGCUUGUGGUACAUAUAAAAAUGAAAAAAAAAAUCAGAAAAUGAGCAAGGACUUUUCUAACUAUAGGUAUGAGAUGAUGGCUUAAAAAGGAAUUUAGAAAGUAAGACUGGAGUAAUACAGAAACAAAAUCUGAAAAAGAAAGUUUACCUAGACAGGAACUGGCUCUCUUUGUCUAUAAACUAGCAGGUAAGGAGUUGGAUCCAAACGCAUUGAAUUGUUUUUGUUUGCUUGUUUAUUUUCUUCCAUUCAGUGCCUUUUAAAUGAUUUUUUACUGGAUGAAGAAACUCAACCAAGAAAAUAUAUGUCAAUUCUUUUAUAUGAAAUGAUAUCAGCUGCUGUGAUUUUUGAUACUAGUAUAAAAUGUAAGAAUCUUUUUUUAUUACUAUAAUUUUUCCUAAAUGAAUGCAUAGUGUAACAAUUGGUGUCAAAAAGCACCGAUUUUUUUUCAAAUGAAUUAAAUUGGAAUAAUAAACUAUAUCCAUGAGAUGAUUUCUGUGAAGUCUGACUUGCUGAGAAAAAAGUGAAAAAGCUUUUUCUGGAGGAAAUAUGGCAACUUAACUGUUAUUAAUCUAGACUAAAUAAAACAGAAACUCUCUCUACAUUUUUAGUAAUUUUUUUCUGCUUUUCCAAAAUUGUUAAGUUCUAUGCAACUUGUGCUAUUCAAGUAAAGAUGAUAUCAGCAAUAAAAUUAUGGAGUCUAAUCAAGUGACUAUUUUUACUUUAUUGCAAAAUUUAUGUAUUUAAUUGGAAUGUUGGAUUGCUUAGUUUUCAGAACACUGAAUAAUUCUUUUUCUAGACAGAGUGUUAUUUAAUGAAGUGCUUAUAAAGAUAAACAUGAUGGUUCAUUAACGGUAAAAUAGUUAUGGUAACAAGGUGGCCUUGAGUCAAUGUGGUAUGGACUCUUCUUUGACCUAGGUAUUUAUAAGGGGAAUGUCUGAGAAGAGAAACUCAAGAGUCCUCAACUUACACAGCCAAGAAUACACAACCAUGUAGAAGAACUUGCCCUCAGAAGCAUUUUUCUACUGAUAUUGCCAUUCUUUUCCUUCAUCUAGUACCUCCAUUUGCUGUAUUUGACUAAAAAGUCAUAAAAUGAAGAGUGGCUGCUGCAACUCACUGGGCGUUUCUCUACUUAAAAACGUUAAUAUCACAUGGCAUUAAUAUAGCUACAUUAAUGAUCAAAAGGUUCACUCAGCUGUCCGUAUGAUUUUUCUAAUCAUUGUUAACUAUCUGAAUAUUUGGAAAUAAUUGUAGCCUGCACUGACUUUUUCUCAUUGCCUUGGGUGCUGGAAGUUUUAUCAUAUAAUGUCAGACACAACUGCGUAAAUAGUAAGCUGUAUAUAUUUUAUUGUAUUGUUAUUUAUAUUAUGUCUGCUUUGUUUCAGAAAGGAUUUAAAGCACUUGUUUUAAGAAUUGGUAUGUUACAUUUUUCAAAAUCUGUGUGUAAAAUAAUUUCCAUAAACAUCAUUAUAAUUUACUUUUUAUGUAUGUUACAAAAUCAGUUAUGUAUUCUGGUAAAUAUUUUGAUCCCAAGAGGAAGCAAGAUUACAUGUAGAAUGUGACAAAUUUUAAAAAUUAAUUUUGUUGUAAAGAAAUCUUCAUAAUGAUAUUCCAUAAAGUUAUUAUUAUGCAUGGAAGGCAGCAUAACAUAGUGAUUAACAGCAGGUCCUUGAAGUCAGAGGCACAGUCUCAACUUGACUACAAAAGUUAUCAGCUGUGUGAUCUUGGGAAAGUAACCAUUCUCCAUGUUAGUUACCAUAGCUGAAAAAGGUGGAUAAUAAUUGUAGAUUCUGUCACAUUGUCGUGGUGAACAUUUAGUGAGGCAAGUCACAUGAGGGGCUAGCAUAGCGUAAGUGCUUAAUCAUUGUCAGCUGUUUGCUUUGGCAUAGCUCUCAAUGUUAGAGUGGCAUGCCACAGUUACCUUCUUGAGAGCCACUAAGCGUGGGAAUGCUAGCAGCCCACAGAAUUUUUGGAGAUUUGUAUGAGGAGCCUGCAUUGGCUCCCAGAACUCAGGGUUGACAGAGCGAAGGUAAUGGCUUCUGGCUUUCGUUAGAGUUCCUGAAAGAUAUGAGAAGAUGGUUCUAGUGAUGAUAACCCACUGGUCUGCAUAACAAAUGAGACCCAAGUGCUCGUAGAACAUUCCAGAGUCAACAGAGAGAAGUGGAAACUAUUAGAAACAUGAUUGCGUUUGCAAAGGGAGACAUAUAAGCUUAGCUUGGCCAAAAUCUUAAAUUCAAGCGCUGAAUCUAAUUACAGAUCUACAUACAAAAAAGAUGUUUGGGAGUUGAUUCUGUGUAAUAGAUGUUACCUGCACCACUACUGGAAGUGUUUGAGUUUACUUAGUUAAAUAGAGAAGGGAAUGAUCAUCUUAUUUUCUUCAAACCAGGACAAAUUUGGUAAGUUGGCAAAAUGGAUAAAUUGUUUAAUUUCCUUGACUCUAUCUCACUCCUGACUAAAAAUGAUCUCUUCCCUCUUCCCUUUCUCCAUCAAAUUCUCAUUUUUUCUUUUCCCUGUCUUCAUCAAAUUCUUAUUCUUUUUAUUGCAGUUAGCAUCCUCCAAGGAGAGUAUGCUAAUAAGGGAAUCCACACUGAUGUAAAUGACUGUACUAGCUUGACAUUUUACCCCUCCAGAGCUCCUGGAAGUUUAAAAGAAGAUAGUAACCAUGGCUUCACCUCUGGCAUCUGCCAAGUCAGUGGCGAUAUUUAUAGGGACAUAACUUUUAUUUUGCAUGAUUGUAAUCUCUCAGAUAAAAUUAUGUAUUUUUGAUUAUUGGCUUUUACACUGUAUAUGUAAGGCAAGCCUUACCUUAAACCCUAUUUCUAUGAGCCCAUUCAGAUUUCUACACCAGAAUCGAGAAAAUGGAAAGAAAUCAACAGGGAAAUGUUUAAAAAGAUGGGGAAAUUGAGACAGAGAAAUCAAGACAUUUGCUGCAGGUCGUGCAGGCUAUGAAUGGAGCUGGAAUGUGAACGCAGGACAUGUGACUGCAGAGCCCAUGUUCUUGAACUCUCAGGAAGACAGCAGCAACGCUCCUGGUGCAGUAGCUGCUUAGCUGGAGUGGCUGACAAGGUUGGGAAAGGGUCCUGUUCCUCCAAAGAAUGACUGCCGAGACACUGUUUACACCGAAGCUGCCUCUAUUCCUGAAAUAUGGAUUGUUAUUCUUUUCCCCUCCAUGUUGAACAUUACACUCUUCUGUUCUUUCCUAUUCUCUUCUUCCCUUCCAGAUGACUUCUAGGGUUUUUAUGAUUCUGUAAUUCUAAGGAAGAAAGGAUAAGAAAAGUUGUAAUGUGAGUGUGCAAAAGAACCCUAAUUUUCAUCACCUACACAUAGCUGUUUCCUAGAUGUUUCAGCAAAAAUUGUGACUUUCCGGAUACCUGCUCACCUGGUUUUCUCCCUCCCUCCCUUCUCCCUUCCCCUCUUCCUCCUUUCCUCCCUUCCUCCCUCCCUCUGUUCCUUCCUUCCUUCCUUCCUUUCUUUUUUCUUUCUUUCUCUCUCUCUUCUUUCCCCUCCCUCCUUCCUUCCUAUUUUCUUUCUUUCCUUUCCUUUUCCUUCCUUCCUUCCUUUCUUCUUUCUCUUUCUCUCUUUCACUCUCUCUCAUUCUUUCUUUUCUCUUUUCCUUUUUACCCCAGAUACCUGGUUUUCUAUCAGAAUGAGAUCUAAUGCUCAGAAGUAUUAUCCCAGCAAAAUGGGAUCCCACCUACUCAAUACACCUUUACAAAACCCUAGAACUGUAAAAGUUUUUUUUUUUAAUUUAGUCAACUUUCUAUGGGCAAUUACAUAAUGUGAGCAGGCAUUAUAUGACUUGGUGCUUUACAUUCAAAUAAAGUUCAAAAAUUUUCCUCUUUUGGAGAGUUUUCCUUUUUUUCCCAAGAGAUCUGGGUAAUACUGAUGUGUUUAGUGUAUUCAAAUCCUAGAAAAGCACAUAUAUAAAAAUGUAGGUUUCUUUUUCUUUUAAUCAAAUCUCCUGUCUUUUUGUUUUUUUCUUAGUGCUAUUCAUCAGCAAAAUGGCCAGGUCUGGCCUUAAGGGAAUGUUAUUCAAAGUUUGGGAGAUUUGAAAAGAUAUGUCCCCAUUGAAGUAGAGCCUUGUUUUUUCUUCUAGGAGAGAAUGAUUUCCAGGACGAGCAGGACACAUAUGGAAGGCCUUAGCUUAUCUUUAGCGCCUUAUACACCCGUUCUGGACUCCAGAAAGGCCAGUGAGAGGGAUUAGACCUCGGAGAUAGGAUGUCAGUCCCUAUGAAGGAUGGCCUAUAGCAUUCGUUAAUUUUUUUCUUUGGGUCACACAUAAGAAACAAUUUUCCAGCACUGAUGAGUGUUACUAACAAUCAGACAGGGUAGCAUUUUGUUUUCCCUAUGGCUGUGCUUAAAAAAUAGGAAAGCUGUCUUUUCUCUCGAAUGAUUGAAUGAGGCUCUGGGGAGGAAAAAGUGGAUUGGCAGAUGUCUUAAAGGAAGCUUCCCUUUCUAGGUACUGUUCUAAGGCUUAAUACUACCACUCCCUGUAUUAACCUAGUUCAGCUAAACAGUGAUCUGAGUAAUUUUAUUUUUAUUAAAGCUCAGAUCAAAAUGCCAGUCACACUGAUUGAGAAAAAGCAAUGGAAUCUUUAAUGUGAAUGAUUAAAUUGAUGAAUUAUUUCAGUCCCAUUACCCUCACAGCAUGAGUAUCUGAUCUGAUAGGCCUCCUUGGAAUUUUUUUGUUUGAGACAGAGUCUCCUUUUCUGUUUGAGACAGAGUCUUGCUCUGUUGCCCAGGCUGGAGUGCAGUGGCAUGAUCUUGGCUCAUUACAACCUCUGCCUCCCUGUUUCAAGAGAUUCUGGUGCUUCAGCCUCUUGAGUAGCUGGGAUUACACAUGUGCACCACCAUGCCUGGCUAAUUAUUUCGUAUCUUUAGUAGAGAUGAAGUUUUGCCAUGUCGACCAGGCUGUUCUCAAACUCCUGGCCUCAAGUGAUCUUCCCACCUCAGCCUCCCAAACUGCUGGGAUUACAGGCGUGAGCCGUUGUGCCCAGCUAGAAUUCCGUAAUAAAGCCCUCUAUGUCUAUUUCUUUUUCCAAAUCUGAUUUUCUUGCUUUCCAAACAUCACCUUUUAAGAAUCCAAGGAUUUUUUUCAGGCACAGUGACUCAUGUCUGUAGUCCCACUGCUUUGUGAGGCCAAGGUAGGAAGUUCAUUUGAGGCCAGUAGCUCGAGACCAGGUGGGCAACAUAAUGAGACCUCGUCUCUACAAAAUAAAAAAUAAAAAUAAAAGCCUGAGGAAAUAACGGUGCCUCACUACGUUUCAAAGCUUUUGACCUUCGUGUCAGAAAAUACAUUAUUUUUAGGAAAGGCACCUCAACCUUAUUUACAAAUGAGCUCUGAUUGGUCAGGAGCAGCCUCAGUAAGGAUAAUAGGACUUCCCAGUAUGACAUACAGCAUGAUCAGCUCUUCUCCGAGCCUCCUGAAAGAAAAGGAAUGAGGUUUCUUAACUCAUUCUCCCCUAGCAUCUUCUCCCACUCUCCUCCCUCCUUCUCAGCAGCUGUGUGCAGCAAUGGGCUAUGCAACUGGGCUGCACUGGUGCCUGGUGGAACUUUUAAUUCCUCCCUGUCAGCACAUUCCCUAGUCCACUUUCAUAGUUCGGAUAAGGACUGGAUAAGCAGCUGAACCGCUGGGGACUUUUCCAAAUGAAAUGCAACCUCUAGACCUUUGAGGGUUUACCCAGUCUUCCUCACUACCCGAAGAUGAGCUUGGAAUGAAUUUUCUCUUAAUGGAUUCUAUUUGUGGGUAGAAGAGGUAAUGACUCCCUUGCUCAGAGUCAUGAGCAUAACUUCAAAUAAGGAAAAAGAACCAUGCAGGAAUGUGAGAAUAGAUGUGAUCCUGAGGAAGGUGUGCCUGAGGAGGUGCUGGGAGGUUCUGAUCGGCUGUUGAAGGGAGAUACCGUAUCUCACGUGACAGAAAUGACCUCCUGACAUCAGAGUUGUGUUUGAGUGGUAAUUUAAAAAAUAAUACAGCUGACAAGGAAAUAUGGAAGGCAUUACUUUGCAAUACAGUGAAAUGAAUAUACAGCAUUCAAGAAUAAUUACCGGGUACUGAUUAGCUGGAAGAAAGGCAAUAAAACUUUAAAAAUAGAAUUUGUAGAAAUAGCACAAGGUGGGACUAUGCCUCCUGCUGGUUUGUUGCAAAGAAUUCGUUUUUGGGAAAAUCCUGUUGAAUUGUAUGACUUGUGAAUCUGGCUCUAAAACUGUAAAUAAGAAUUGAAAGAGAACGAUCUAAAAAUACCAAGACAUCUUUUAAAAUUCCCAUUUUUAGCACAGCUAUUUUUCAUUAAAAUAAAUUAUUCAAUCCCCCUUUUUUUGAGACAGAGUCUUGCUCUGUCACCCAGGCUAGGGUGCAGUGUUGUGAUCUUGGCUCACUGCAAUCUCCGCUUUCCAGGUUCCAGCAAUUCACCUGCCUCAGGCUCCCGAGUAGCUGGGACUACAGACGUGUGCCACUACGUCCAGCUAAUUUUUGUAUUUUUAGUAGAGACAGGGUUUCACUAUGUUGACCAGGCUGGUUUUGAGCUCCCAACUUUGUGAUCUACCUGCCUCAGCCUCCCAAAGUGUUGGGGUUGCUGGUGUGAGCCACUGCACCCGGCUAAAUCAUUCCAUUUCUGUUUAUUGAGGUUACUGUUUUCACAGUAGGUCCAGGGCUCUGGUGAAGUCCAGGAGGUGCCCAGGCCCCUUCAGUGGUUCUGUUUCAUGCCACGUGUUUUAUUUAAUAAGUGGUUGGGCUCCAGAUAUGCAUGUAAACAUGGUGCAUCUCCAGGUAUUGGUUUUGGUAAUGCUGUAAACAAGGGGAGAAUACAUUAAAAUUUGGCAAUAAUGCUCCUUUGCACUCAGUCUAUUCUUUUAAGAUGAAAUGUGUUUCCUAUAACAGAAAAAUGUAACCACCAUCUUCUUCAGCAGGAGGGAACAUAGCUUGUACAAUCAGUGAGGUUAUCAACAGCUGGAGGAUUUAUCUGACCCUGAGGAAGGUUAUGGUCUAGUGAGGAAUGAAUACAACACCUGUAGAUGGUAGGCGAACUUGUUGCGUAUGGUGGCAUGAGGUAGGUGCCAAAUGUGUAAUACUCAUGAGUGGUACUCCAGGAAGAGCAAAUGGUUAGUAGGGCAGACAGGUGGAUAAGCAAUGGGACUUGGACCAAGGCUUGAACAGAAGGCAGAGUAUUAAGAGGAGUAGGGAAAAUGAUUCUGGUGGUGGGGUAGAUUUUAUUUUUGUUUGCAAUGAUUAAUCUCUGUCCUUUCCUAUAAGAAGGUUAUAUACCCUUACUAGUUACAAUGUAAUUUAUAAUGCUUAGUUAUAGCAGAAAAGUAUUUAAUUGGCUCAUUCAUGUUGAGCUUGCCUAUGUGACUUGAUCUGACCAAUGAAAUAUGAGUGAAUCCUGAUAUAUGCCAUAUCAGAGUGGAAGCUUUAAAUGUGCCUGCAUGUUUUGCUUCUGCCCUCUCCAUGAGUAUAGUAUGUCCCAGCUAGUGGCAGGUUCUGGAAUGUGGAUUUCAGAAUACAGCAGUGCAUAGCACAGAGUUGGAACCUGGACCAGGGCCCAAGCCCACUAAAAAGAUACAUACAACGUGAGUAAGAAAUAAACACGUGUUGUUGUAUCCAUUGAGAUUUUCAGGGCUGUGACUGCACCAUGGCUGACUCAUACAGGAGGGGAACACAACCUGAGCAAAUAUGUGGGGACAGAAAACUACAUGUCUGAGAGACAGUAAAACAAGUAUCUAAUUUGGCCAAGGCUAGGGCUUUGUGUAGGAGAGGAACAUAAACAAGAGGUUGUGUCUAUUAUGAAAGCCUUGAAUAGCUGAUUAAGAACAUUGACCUUAAUCUAUAGGCAGUGGGAAAACACUGAGGACUUUUUAGCACACAGAUGAAGGAACAAAGGGAGAAUUUAAGAAUAUCUGUUCAAUACCAGUGUUAGGACAAAGUUGAUGGUGGGAAAGAAACCAGUUAGGAGCAGUGCGUUCUUUUUUUGUUGUUGUUUUUUGAGAUGGAGUUUCACUCUUGUUUCCCAGGCUGAUGGUGUGAUCUCAGCUCACUGCAACCUCUGCCUCCCAGGUUCAAGCAAUUCUCCUGCCUCAGCCUCCUGAGUAGCUGAGAUUACAGGCAUGUGCCACCACGCCUGGCUAAUUUUGUGGUUUUAGUAAAGAUGGGGUUUCUCCUCCAUGUUGAUCAUGCUGGUCUUGAACACUUGAUCUCAGGUGAUCCACCCAUCUUGGCCUUUCAAAGUGCUGGGAUGACAGACGUGAGCCACUGCACUUGGCCAGGAGCAGUGUGAAGGAGCAGAGUGUUCUUAAGCAUGUGCUUUAAAUGUUUCCAAUAGGAAGUGAUCAUUUUGUCAGAAGAGACUAGAUUUUGAUAUGUAUCAUAUAUAAACAUAUAAUGGAAAAAAAUCUAACAGGAAAAAUAACUUUAAAAUAAAACAUUCGAUAUGACCAUGGUAACAUAAAUGUUUCCCUAGGACAGGGGAACAGAAUAAAUGGGCCAUGAUUUGCUGACACCUUCCCAAGUGGGCUUUUUAUAUAACAUCAUGAACCACCUGAGCCAGAGCCUUCAAAGCUGUUAUAAUUCAGGUGUGUUUAUCUCUUUGAACACAGAUUCCAACUUACAUGCAAUCUUUCCCUUUGGUGUGAAGAUCCAUUGCUAGUGUUCAUCUCAUUGUGGCAUAAAUCCUGUGAAAUCAUAUAGGGGAAGAGAAGUACUUAAAGCCCAGCAAACUUGUAGACUUGUGGUUAGUCUGUAAUUGUUGAAUGCAACAUCUGUAAAACUUCAUCAUGAGAGACCUUUGCCACACACAUGAACAAGGACGGAAAUUGACAUGAAAGCAGGCUAUCUGGUGUUCCAUAAUAAUAUAAUGUUUACCUGCUUUCUACGUCAUUCAAUACUUUACCUGCUUUGGGUCCAACCCUGAAUGUCUUUCAUCUAAGCAGGACAAUUACUUUACAUGGAUUCUAGGAACUGUCUUGCAUUUUCUAGAUAAUGUAUUAUUAGACUGUCUUGCAUUUUUCUACAUAAUGUGUCACCUUGAUACUGUAUCAUUUCUAGAUAAUGUAUCAUUAGUUCAUUGAGGGCAGAGAAUAGAGGCUCAUGUCAACAAUACCAUACAGAUACAGCCAAGGUCAUCUCAAGGUUACAGUUUUCAUCUGUGUUGAGAUAUGAAUCUAUUCCAGUUCUAAUUCCUUAAUAGAGUUGCCUUUAUUUCAGUGAAACUUUUUAUUUUAUUUUAUUUUUAGAUGGACUCUGGUUUUGUUGCCAGGCUGGAGUGCAGUGGCAUGAUCUUGGCUCACCACAACCUCCACCUCCCCGGUUCAAGUGAUUCUCCUGCCUCAGCCUCCCAAGUAGCUGGGACUACAGGCACGCACCACCACCUCUAGCUAAUUUUUAUGUUUUUAGUAGAGACAGGGUUUCAACAUGUUGGCCAGGAUAGUCUCGAUCUCUUGACCUUGUGAUCCAUCUGCCUCAGCCUCCCAAAGUGCUGGGAUUACCAUCCUGAUCACAGUGCCUGCCUCCAGGCUCAUGAAAUCCAGCAUGUUACUGCUGUUAUGAAUGUCUCUGCUUUGUAAGCGACAUGUUUAAUGAAUUGGGAGUAUCUAUGCACAUUGAAUUCACUUAAAAAGGAAAAAAUACCCUUUAACAGCUAUAGCUACAGAAAUUCAAUUUAGUUUAUUUAGGAGGAAAUGAGAGACUUAAAUUGUAGGUGUGAAAUCUUACAAUCUUUCAGCAUGAUUUGGUUUGGGGGAUGGUUGGAACUUCACAGAAUUGCCUCAGCCAAAAUAAUUUUUGUGAGUACAUUCCCAAGCUCACGAUCAUGUUUUGGUAAGAAAAAUCCCUUUCUCCACAAGUUCUCAGGUCCCAUUCAUUGGCCCUUGCCCUCAAUUCUGGAACCUAUGUUAGGCUGUUAUGUGGCUGAGUUCUUGGUGAUAUGUUUUCAAUUUGAGUCAACUUGAUGAGAGAAAAAUUACUAAAAAGUGGGAAUGAGCUGUGAGGUGAACAGGGUUUUCCUAUCAAAGUGAAGGUAUUUUAAAAAGCAUUUAUUAUUUCAAACUCAAACAUUUAUAGAAAGCCAUGAGUGUGAAGUGUAUGAUUACCAGUUGCGGCUUGCCACAUUGAAAAUUUCAAGUUCAUAGAAAAUAUUUACUGUGGCUCUGGCUUGCAAGCAGUUUGUUCCAAAUAACAAUUUGGUCCAGAAGGCAUGUCAGCUAAAAAAUAGUUUACUAAUAUAGUAGUAACAGGCAAUUAGGAUUCAUAAACGUUGCCAUGUCUGAGACAUGAUUUAGGGUCUUAGAUGGAAAGAGUUCCGUUAUUAAGCGAACAGAAUUUAAAUGCCGUAUCUGUCUAGGUGUCAUGCAUGUCAGAAGUGAGAAAACUACUCCUUCAUUUUCCAUUUUUAUGAGCUCUUAUGUAACACAGUUGUUUUUUUUUGUGUUGAAAGUGAUGAAUAUGGUUCUUGGCACAAUUGUUCCAAGUAAAGAAGUAUUUAACUUACAAGGGAAAAACAUCUGCCUUUGACCAUGGAUUAAAGAGAUGUUAUAGGAUGAAGUUUACUUCCUAAGGAAAGAUUGGCUUUGUGUGUCACUUUCUGAAAAUUUGUUUGGGACAUAUAAAAUUAUUUUGUAUAAAUUCUAGAGGUCUGAGGAAAAUGUACUUAAUCACAUUAGGUGAGAAUAUUUCUUUUGGUGUGAAUUGAGGAGUUAUCAAGGUUCUGAUUUUUUUUUUCUCACUUAUUUGCUCUGGGGCUCAUCUCACUACAAUGCAUUCGUGAACCAUUGAAUAAAAAGCAGGCUGCAACAGUAUUUAUUAUAUAUGAUCCUACAUACACAUAAAAUCGUGUGUGUGUGUGUGUGUGUGUGCGUGCACACAUGUGUAUAAAAAGAGCUACGUUUUUAAAGUUGUUAAUAGUUAAUUCUGGGUGGUGGAUUUUAAGUGAUUGUUAUUUUCUUUGUAUGUUUUUUUUAAACAGUACAUAAUUUUCUUUUGUUGUUAUGAAAGGUAUAAUACACUUGAAAGAGGACAUAUAUACAGUUUAAAUAAUAAUAAAAUAGUGACUACCCACUGCUUAGCUGAACAAAGUAACAUAUUACUCUGUUGUAGAAGGCAAGCUCUGCUUCUGCCUCUGCCUCUGUCAUAGAGAUAGCUGCUUGCUUGAAUUUUGUGCCAGUCACACCUUUGCUUUCUUAUAUAGUUUAGCCAGCUGUGAAUGUAACCAUAAACCAUAAAUUAUUUUAUUUUGAUUGCUUUUGAACUUUAAAUAAAUGAAAUUAUACU